CAAGUGAUGGUUUUAGACCACCCAUCCAGUAUGUAAUCGUUACAAAGAUAGUUGGAAGAACAAGCUCCAUUGGUAAGUCACCAACCGUUCGUGCAACAUAGUAGGAGGAAAGAUGGUACAUUCCUGAUGAUUUUUCUUUUUUCAGCAUUGGCCUCUCCAAAGGAAAUACAAAGAUGGCAUUGAAAAGAGGGAAGAAACCCCAGAAUAUGGAGAAGAAGAAUAAGAGUCCCACCUGUUAGAAGGAUAAUAUUGUUGUAAGUAGUACUAAUAAUACUACAGAAGAAAUCAAUUACUUUCUAUUAUGUGUUUUAGUUGAGUAAAUUACACAAGCAAAUUGUCUACUACUUGAUUUUUGAAGUACUCAUA
rnacentral:lncRNA from 1 species